CCAGCGUGCAAGGUGCAAGGUGCGCGGGGGGCGCGCAUGCAAGGUGUGCGUGGUGCACAGUGCGUGGUGCACAGCGUGCAUGGGGUGCGCGGUAUGCAUGGGGUGCGCGGGGUGCAGGGUGUGCAUGGUACAGAGCGUGCGUGGUGCACGGUGCAUGGUGCCAGAGUAUGCGUGGGGUGCACAGUGUGCGCUAUAUGCAUGGGGUGCGCGGUAUGCAGGGUGUGCAUGGUACAGAGCGUGCGUGGUGCCCGGUGCAUGGUGCCAGAGUAUGCGUGGGGUGCACAGUGUGCGCUAUAUGCAUGGGGUGCGCGGUAUGCAGGGUGUGCAUGGUACAGAGCGUGCGUGGUGCACGGUGCAUGGUGCCAGAGUAUGCGUGGGGUGCACAGUGUGCGCUAUAUGCAUGGGGUGCACAGUAUGCACUGUGUGCAUGGUGUGCAUGGUGCACAGUGCAGUGGUGUGCACAGUGCAUGGAGCACAGUGUGCAUGGUGCACAGUGUGCACUGUAUGCAUGGUGUGCGCGGGGUGCAUGGUGUGCAUGGUACAGAGCGUGCGUGGUGUGCACAGUGUAUGGAGCACAGUGUGCAUGGUGCACAGUGUGCGCUGUAUGCAUGGUGUGCACGGUGCAUGGUGCACAGUGUGCAUGGCAUGCAUGCUGUGUAUGGUGCGCAGUUUGCGCUGUAUGCAUGGUGUGCAGAGUGCGUGGUGUGCACACUGCGUGUGGUAUGUGUGGUGUGCAUGGUGCACAGUGUGCACUGAAUGCAUAGUGUGCACGGUGCAUGUUGUGCACAGCGUGUGUGGUAUGCAUGGAGUGCAAAGUAUGCCUUGUGCUCCAUGUGCACAGUGCUUAGUGCACAGCGUGUGCAGUGCGUAUGGUGCACAAUGUGCGUGGGGUGCAUGUGUGUGUACAUGCAUGCUGUACACAGUGUGCGUAGUGCAGUGUGCAUAGUGUGCCUGGUGCGCGGUGUGCAGAGUACACAUGUACAUGAUGUGCAUGGUGCAUGAAGGGCAUAGUGCAUGCACUGUGGCUGCCACGAGCAUGCAGCUCCCCCCUUCACCAUGCAAGCCUUAAAAAUAUAUAUGUGGCAUGUAUGCCACAGAUGUGGGAGGCGGAGGCCCAAAGUGUGCAGGAGAGCAUGUGUCUGUCAGAGGGGGAGAGAGAAAGCUGCUGUGCUGGAGAGGUUGCAGUGGGAGCAGGGCAGGAGGGAUGUGGAGCAGCAGAAGUUCUGCACAUGGCUGCAGCAGAGCCGAGGGCAGAGCGGGGUAAAAGCCUCUAAUCCCUCAGUGCAAAGAUAAGGGAGAAAGAGGGGAGGACGUGCUCCUCCACACUCCUCAGGGGAGUGAACCCUUUCCCUCUGUCCAGAAGGACAUCUCUACUAUAGCUACAAAAUGAGAGUUCCCAACAUUUUCGAAUUGGAAAUACUCAUAUUCUCAUCGAGAGGGGCAGAGAGGGGUUUUUAAAGGGUAGAGAGCUGUUUCUCGCAGGAUCUCGGUAUUAAUGGCAGAUUAAAAACCCUCCUUUCACUGACAAUAAAGUAUUUUGCGACAGCACCUCGUACCGAAGAGGAGAUAUUUAUGUCAUUGUGGCAAAGUUGUGUCUCGCUGUGCGCAAAUUGCCGCUAGCCGAGCUCUUGGGAAACGUGAAGAGCAAAGCGCUUAGUGCUGGAUUUUAACACAGCGUCCGCCCGGUUUGGGCACUUCUGAGCUGAACGGCUCAAAGCCUUUUAAUCCCGAAGGCCAGAAAAGCAGCGAUAUGCGCGCGGCUGUGUAAUUGGACCUGUCUGUUUUACAUGUUCCCGAGGGUUUAUUAUAGGCAGCUUUCGAGUUAAGUGGGCCGGGACGUUUGCCGCUCUCGUCCCCGGUUUCCAAACCGGCGCGGAGCCCGUGCCGUGUGCCCGACGCAUCUCAGGGAUGCUACGGUUUUCUUAAUGACGGACCCAACGGAUCAGCGUUUUUCUUUCAGGUUAUUCGUUGGUCGGAAAGGGGUAAGGCUUCUCACGGACGAUCCAGCUCCGGACCUGGACACAGAGCUGCGUUCGGUUGCCCACACGGAGACCUUCAGGGCCACUUAGGAUGUCCUAGAGAGCUCUGCCUGACCUCCGGAUCCCGCUUCAGGGGGUCACUGGUCUGCUACAGAGCCUGUGUCCUUUCUGCCAGUCCCACAAAUGCAUCUCACAUACCCUUCUGACCCAUCUCCAGUGACACUUGGCACUUACAGAUCAUGUUCCUCUGAGCUAGAUUCCCAUCAGAGUCAAUGGGGAUCCAGUCUGGAGCCUGGCUGACCAGCUGACCAGACCCUAAGUGUCCAUUUUAUACUGACCCACCGUGCUUUUCUGAGCGACUUUUCAGAGCAGGACCUGCCUUGCCUGCAGCGAGCACGCGAGCACCGCCUGGACACGGCACAGCCGCACGCAGUCACGCACCGAAGGACUGGGGACCAGGGACUUUCCCUUCGGCUAGGAGGCUGUCACCACGAAGAGGAAGAUAAUCCCCAGGAAAAAAGGACCCUCCUUCCGAACCCAGUUUCGUUGCCUUUUUUGUCCCCCCACGCGUUUUGCAAUCUCCUGAGGUCUUUGCCAGCCCAUUCACAGAAACGAGCUGUUCCAGCCCCGCGGAGUCACACUUUAUAUCACUGUGCACAUGCCCUUGUUUAAUUUAUGUUUCCAUCAUACGAUACUCUUGUUAAGUA